GACGAACGCUGGCGGCGUGCUUAACACAUGCAAGUCGAACGGAAAGGCCCUGCGUUUGUGGCGUGCUCGAUUGGCGAACGGGUGAGUAACACGUGAGUAACCUGCCCUUGACUUUGGGAUAACUUCAGGAAACUGGGGCUAAUACCGGAUAGGAGCUCCUGCUGCAUGGUGGGGGUUGGAAAGUUUCGGCGGUUGGGGAUGGAAUUGCGGCUUAUCAGCUUGUUGGGGGGGUAGUGGCUGACAAAGGCUUUGACGGCUAGCCGGCCUGAGAGGGUGACCGGCUACAGUGGGAUAGAGGAGGGGCCAGGACGCAAACGGGAGGCAGGAGUGGGAACCAGUGCAAACAGGGCGGCGGCAUGGUGGAGGAUCGUCGCGUGGGAGAUGACGGCCUUCGGGGUGUAAAACGCUUGCGCGUGUCACGAAGCGUGAGUAACGUUAAUGAGUAAAGAAGCACCGCCUAAUUACGU
rnacentral:rRNA from 1 species